rnacentral:lncRNA from 1 species
AUAUAUAUAUAUAUAUAUAUAUAUAUACAGGGGGCCUUCCAAUGAGGGAUCUUUUUUUUUGUUCAUUUCUAGGGAUAUGGUAUUUGACAAACUUUCCGAUCAUUAAAUCACAUCUUUACCGUUCAGUUUGUAGGUGUAUAUGAGUAUAUCAUUUCUGCAAAUUUUCAAAAAAUUUGGCGAUAGUUAAGUCAUGCCAAUGUUUGAUUUAUUUUUAAUGAUCUUGAACGGUACGUGUAGGUUUGACAUAAGUGUUAAGUUUUUUGUUUUAAUCUCAGUCAUUCAAGCCCAUUAAAAAACAGAUCUAAUGAUGUGGACAUAUCCCUGAAAGUGACAAAAAAAUAGAAAUCUCUCAUUGUAAGGGCCCUAUAUAUAUUAAAAAAUAUAACAUAACAGUUUUUAUAAUAGUUUGAACAUAAUUCACUACCAGAAGAAAGACUUUAGCAGACGAAAAUAAAAAAACCAGGCCGACGAAUUAUUUUUUCAUCGGCUAAAGUGGACUUUUCGUCGGCUAUGGCUAUGGUCAACUUUAGCCGACGAAAUUAAAAUUUCGUCGUCUGAAUAAUUUUUUCGUCGGCUAUAGUCUGUGAACUUUAGCCGAAGAAAUUUUUAAAAGUUUAGCCGUCGAAAAAUAUAAUUUCGUCGGCUAAAGUGCCUUAUAUUUGCAGAUCUGGACAACAACUCAUCUGGAAAAAAAAACUAUACGUAGAACCUUCAAACGCAAAAAAAAUCGUGAAAUAAGAUAUGACCAGAAUGGUGAAAUACGUCUACAGUUGAAAAAUCACAGUAUUCUGAUAAAGUCUCGGUGCCGAUAGUUGCGGUCAAUGCAAGUUACCCUUAUUAUUCACUAUGCUGCAUAUUUGGUUUUUGGUGUCCGAUUGACCAUUGUGAUACCUUUCCAGAAGCGUAACGGCCCUACGAGUCAAACUCAUCGCUAAUGCCAUGAUGUAUGGGCCUUUUUGGCCAUCCGAGUCCGUUUAGGGCUUCAAAAUGCAGUUUUCUUAUUUCCGAUUAGAGUUGACUGUUUCGAUCGAGCCCUUAACGUUGUCGAAUCCAGUUGAAUUUUUUACCAUAGACAUCUUUCGUCAUAAUGAUCAUAUCGGACGGUCGAAUUUUGGUUUGUAAAUUUUAGUCAUCGGAAUCACAACGUGUCUACUAUUUACCGUUAUUAUUCCCUAUGGGGAGCCCUAUCGUCGAAAGGUAAAUGUCUCAAAAUUUUUAUAUGGGCAGUUGCGUCUCAUCUUCGUGAGAGUUUUUUUGUGUGGAAGGUUUGACCAAACCACAUAAUAUAGAGGGAGAUAUGAGCGUUUUCGUGUGAUAAGUGACGAUGGAU